CGUGGGCAAUCUGCCCUUCACUCUGGGACAAGCCCUGGAAACGGGGUCUAAUACCGGAUAAUACUCUGUCCCGCAUGGGACGGGGUUGAAAGCUCCGGCGGUGAAGGAUGAGCCCGCGGCCUAUCAGCUUGUUGGUGGGGUAAUGGCCUACCAAGGCGACGACGGGUAGCCGGCCUGAGAGGGCGACCGGCCACACUGGGACUGAGACACGGCCCAGACUCCUACGGGAGGCAGCAGUGGGGAAUAUUGCACAAUGGGCGAAAGCCUGAUGCAGCGACGCCGCGUGAGGGAUGACGGCCUUCGGGUUGUAAACCUCUUUCAGCAGGGAAGAAGCGAAAGUGACGGUACCUGCAGAAGAAGCGCCGGCUAACUACGUGCCAGCAGCCGCGGUAAUACGUAGGGCGCAAGCGUUGUCCGGAAUUAUUGGGCGUAAAGAGCUCGUAGGCGGCUUGUCACGUCGGAUGUGAAAGCCCGGGGCUUAACCCCGGGUCUGCAUUCGAUACGGGCUAGCUAGAGUGUGGUAGGGGAGAUCGGAAUUCCUGGUGUAGCGGUGAAAUGCGCAGAUAUCAGGAGGAACACCGGUGGCGAAGGCGGAUCUCUGGGCCAUUACUGACGCUGAGGAGCGAAAGCGUGGGGAGCGAACAGGAUUAGAUACCCUGGUAGUCCACGCCGUAAACGUUGGGAACUAGGUGUUGGCGAC
rnacentral:rRNA from 1 species